rnacentral:tRNA from 1 species
AGCAGAGUGGUGUAGUGGAAACAUGCUGGGCUCAUAACCCAGAGGUCUGUAGAUCGAAACUGGACUCUGUGA